AGUGCUGCAGCUAACGCAUUAAGCACUCCGCCUGGGGAGUACGACCGCAAGGUUGAAACUCAAAGGAAUUGACGGGGGCCCGCACAAGCGGUGGAGCAUGUGGUUUAAUUCGAAGCAACGCGAAGAACCUUACCAGGUCUUGACAUCCUUUGACCACUCUAGAGAUAGAGCUUCCCCUUCGGGGGCAAAGUGACAGGUGGUGCAUGGUUGUCGUCAGCUCGUGUCGUGAGAUGUUGGGUUAAGUCCCGCAACGAGCGCAACCCUUAUUGUUAGUUGCCAUCAUUNAGUUGGGCACUCUAGCAAGACUGCCGGUGACAAACCGGAGGAAGGUGGGGAUGACGUCAAAUCAUCAUGCCCCUUAUGACCUGGGCUACACACGUGCUACAAUGGGAAGUACAACGAGUUGCGAAGUCGCGAGGCUAAGCUAAUCUCUUAAAGCUUCUCUCAGUUCGGAUUGCAGGCUGCAACUCGCCUGCA
rnacentral:rRNA from 1 species